UACGUAGGGGGCAAGCGUUGUCCGGAAUCACUGGGCGUAAAGCGUGCGUAGGCGGUUGCGUGGGUCUGGGGGGAAAGUCCAGGGCUCAACCCUGGGAUUGCCUUAGAAACUGCGCGACUUGAGUACUGGAGAGGCAAGGGGAAUUCCGCGUGUAGCGGUGGAAUGCGUAGAUAUGCGGAGGAAUACCAGUGGCGAAGGCGCCUUGCUGGACAGUGACUGACGCUGAGGCACGAAAGCGUGGGGAGCAAACAGG
rnacentral:rRNA from 1 species